GCCUUUGUAGCUCAGGGGUAGAGCACUUCCUUGGUAAGGAAGGGGUCAGCAGUUCAAUUCUGCUCAAAGGCU
rnacentral:tRNA from 1 species